rnacentral:rRNA from 1 species
UACGUAGGGUGCAAGCGUUAAUCGGAAUUACUGGGCGUAAAGCGUGCGCAGGCGGUUCGCUAAGACAGAUGUGAAAUCCCCGGGCUUAACCUGGGAACUGCAUUUGUGACUGGCGGGCUAGAGUAUGGCAGAGGGGGGUAGAGUUCCACGUGUAGCAGUGAAAUGCGUAGAGAUGUGGAGGAAUACCGAUGGCGAAGGCAGCCCCCUGGGCCAAUACUGACGCUCAUGCACGAAAGCGUGGGGAGCAAACAGG